rnacentral:lncRNA from 1 species
GAUCUAAAUUCUUAUUCUUGAAAAUGGAUUCCAGAAAACAACAUAAAAACUCAAAUUAUAAUAUGGAUUGGAUCUGAUUAUGACUUGAGAGAAAAUCUAUGGAGCAAUAGUAUCCUUCUUAAAAUGCUAGCCCUUCACUGAACUGUUGUGCCGGGAACUUCAAAUAUGCAAGGAUUUUCUGAGUUGCUUCAUAUUUCUCUUGAAGUGCAGCAGAACUUAAGAAAAUGCUUUGCCUGUGUCUGAGCUAAGAUGGAUUAAGGUAUGAUUAAGUGUACUCCAAAGUGAAGUGCUGGAUUUUAUAAAUGUUAACCUGAUAAGACUGUUUUU